AAAGUCGUAACAAGGUUUCCGUAGGUGAACCUGCGGAAGGAUCAUUAACGUGGGGCUUCGGCCCCGCCGAGAUAGAACCCUUGCCUUUUGUAUACCGUCCGUUUCCUCGGCAGGCUCGCCUGCCAAUGGGGACCAUAAUAAACCUUUGUAAUAACCUGUAAUUGUCUGAUCAAAAAAUUAAAUUUAAAACUUUUAACAACGGAUCUCUUGGUUCUG
rnacentral:misc_RNA from 1 species